GAUGAACGCUGGCGGCGUGCCUAAUACAUGCAAGUCGAGCGAACGGACGAGAAGCUUGCUUCUCUGAUGUUAGCGGCGGACGGGUGAGUAACACGUGGAUAACCUACCUAUAAGACUGGGAUAACUUCGGGAAACCGGAGCUAAUACCGGAUAAUAUUUUGAACCGCAUGGUUCAAAAAUGAAAGACGGUCUUGCUGUCACUUAUAGAUGGAUCCGCGCUGCAUUAGCUAGUUGGGAAGGUAACGGCUUACCAAGGCAACGAGGCAUAGCCGACCUGAGAGGGGGAUCGGCCACACUGGAACUGAGACACGGUCCAGACUCCUACGGGAGGCAGGAGUAGGGAAGCUUCCGCAAGGGGCGAAAGCCUGACGGAGCAACGCCGCGUGAGUGAUGAAGGUCUUCUGAUCGUAAAACUCUGUUAUUAGGGAAGAACAUAUGUGUAAGUAACUGUGCACAUCUUGACGGUACCUAAUCAGAAAGCCACGGCUAACUACGUG
rnacentral:rRNA from 1 species